GAUUACUGGUCUUGCAGGGUCUUGUGCCAGUUGAACUGAAUUGGGACUGGCUCAAGAAGAGAUCAUCUAGCAAAGCACUGAGUCAGCAGCUAUCAGAAGGCACAGUAAGGAAGAGAGAGAAGCUUCCUUUUCAGCUGUCCUGCACAGAGUGAAAACAGUGAACAUCCGAUUGUCUCAUGGUGAGGCAGCACAGGAAUUUCCCCUCAGGAUCAGGCCCCUGAAACCCUGGGCUUGCACAGGUUCCCCCACUUACAGAGAUGUACCCCAGGAAUGCCUCAGCAGGGGAUUCACCAGGGAUGCAUAUCGCACUGCCAUGCCCUGACUUCGGACAAGACCAGAUGUCCCAGCACAGCUGAUCCUUUACCAAAGAAAUGCAUUAUUACAAAAAUGUUCUAACCUGAGCUGGAAGAAAGAAGGCCCCAACACAGAGCUAUCAGCAUCUCAAUCAACACUGGAACAGUAUCUUUCUCCAUUUCCCUUCAGUGUGGAGUGUAACUGAAUAAUCAUCAUUGAACAUGGAAAAUAGCAAGAUUCCAACUCAGGACAAACAGAACCAAUAAAACAUUGGUACCAGUAUUUCAACAAGAGCCAUCUUUUUUAUUAAUAGGUUCCAAAAGCAAGGAUGAACCCCCAAAGUGCUGGAGGUAAACUGGGGAGCAACCAGAUCAAAGCUACCUUCCUUUCUGGUCCUGCUAUGAGGGGCAAAUUGGGAAUAAAUCUAUAGCAAUAAAUUGUUUUCUCACUAUUCUAUUUCCUUGGUAAACAAAAAAAGAAAGUAGCUCAGGAACCAAGAAUGGGCAGGGGAUGUGGGGUUCUCUAAAAAAGAAAGACUGCUUUAAACUAUAUCUUUUGUUAGCACUUCAGGUCAGCCUGGCAUUCAGUAGCAUUUUCAACAAAAGUAGAGGGAGGGGAUAGUUUCCUUUUUCAGCCUAACAUUGAAUGUGCCUUUUUUUUUUUUUGGUUGCUUAGGGAGUUAUGUCAACAAUUACUGUGUAACACAGUGAGAAUUGAAAUAUCACUUCUGCUUGGGUUGUGAAUGUCCUAAAUCGCUGAAUAAUCACUGACAUGCAAUAAUUAGAAAAUAUGCUCAUUUAUGACUCUCUGAAUUUUUCCCCAGUGUAACUCUAUUUUGUUCUGUGGAAUUACACUAGAUAACGAUUUGGUUUAUUAAGACUAAGUGAAUAGAGGCCAAGGACUCAAAGGACAAUGGAUUCCAUUAAACACUGUAUAGCAUUCUAGAAUGGGGGAUUGUUAAUUUCUGAAUAGUAUCUUGGAUUCUAAUUAUUGAUUAGAAGAGAUGGGAAAUAGCUAAGUGAAAAAAUCCACUGAAAACCUCCUGUAGUAUUUUCUAAUAUUUAAUUACUAAAACAUGUGUUCAGCACUAAAGCACACUGAAAACCAAGCCUUAAUCUAGCUCUUUUUGUAUGAUAUCUUUAAUUAUAGACAUGGAACACUUUGGAGUGCUUGCUUCAGGGAGAGGUGACUGGAGACUGUUUUUUAAAAAAUUAUUAUAAAAUGUUAAGGUACUAGGCUUAUGAGUGCAUUUGUGAGACAUUUGAAGUAUGCCCCUGGGCAGAGAUCCCACAACGCUCUUUGCAUCACUUAAGCUACACAUCAAAAUGUUAAACAGAA